rnacentral:rRNA from 1 species
AACGCGAAGAACCUUACCAGGGUUUGACAUGCACAGGACGCUGGCAGAGAUGUCGGUUCCCUUGUGGCCUGUGUGCAGGUGGUGCAUGGCUGUCGUCAGCUCGUGUCGUGAGAUGUUGGGUUAAGUCCCGCAACGAGCGCAACCCUUGUCUCAUGUUGCCAGCACGUGAUGGUGGGGACUCGUGAGAGACUGCCGGGGUCAACUCGGAGGAAGGUGGGGAUGACGUCAAGUCAUCAUGCCCCUUAUGUCCAGGGCUUCACACAUGCUACAAUGGCCGGUACAAAGGGCUGCGAUGCCGUGAGGUGGAGCGAAUCCUUUCAAAGCCGGUCUCAGUUCGGAUCGGGGUCUGCAACUCGACCCCGUGAAGUCGGAGUCGCUAGUAAUCGCAGAUCAGCAACGCUGCGGUGAAUACGUUCCCGGGCCUUGUACACACCG